rnacentral:rRNA from 1 species
UACGGAGGGUGCAAGCGUUAUCCGGAUUCACUGGGUUUAAAGGGUGCGUAGGUGGGCAGGUAAGUCAGUGGUGAAAUCUCCGAGCUUAACUCGGAAACUGCCAUUGAUACUAUAGCUCUUGAAUUUUCUGGAGGUAAGCGGAAUAUGUCAUGUAGCGGUGAAAUGCUUAGAUAUGACAUAGAACACCAAUUGCGAAGGCAGCUUGCUACAGGAACAUUGACACUGAGGCACGAAAGCGUGGGGAUCAAACAGG